rnacentral:rRNA from 1 species
AUUGAACGCUGGCGGCAGGCCUAACACAUGCCAGUCGAGCGGAUGAAGGGAGCUUGCUCCUGGAUUCAGCGGCGGACGGGUGAGUAAUGCCUAGGAAUCUGCCUGGUAGUGGGGGAUAACGUCCGGAAACGGGCGCUAAUACCGCAUACGUCCUGAGGGAGAAAGUGGGGGAUCUUCGGACCUCACGCUAUCAGAUGAGCCUAGGUCGGAUUAGCUAGUUGGUGGGGUAAAGGCCUACCAAGGCGACGAUCCGUAACUGGUCUGAGAGGAUGAUCAGUCACACUGGAACUGAGACACGGUCAAGACUCCUACGGGAGGCAGCAGUGGGGAAUAUUGGACAAUGGGCGAAAGCCUGAUCCAGCCAAGCCGCGUGUGUGAAGAAGGUCUUCGGAUUGUAAAGCACAUUAAGUUGGGAGGAAGGGCAGUAAGUUAAUACCUUGCUGUUUUGACGUUACCAACAGAAUAAGCACCGGCUAACUUCGUG